GACCAAUCGAAAAAGCAAAAAAAAAUGUCUCUGCUCUCUCCUCUUCCUCUGCUCCACACAUUCUCCUUCUCCUCCACCGUCGCCACAAAACCCACCGCUUCUAGAAUCACUGCUACUACGCCUUCGAAACUCCGCUUCUCCGUCGUCAACGCGACGCCGGAGAAUGGAAACAGCGGUGGUGGCGAUGACGAGGAUCCGUCUUUCAACCCGUUUGGUUUCGUUACUGACAACCCGUCUAGCCGGAGCGCAAUUCAGUUACCGGAGUCUCCGGCAGAAGACGGUAACGUCGGUCAAAUGCUAUACAGGACUGAAGAUAAAGGAAAGGAGUAUGGUUCAACUAUCAGAUCUGGGAAGCUUAGAUGGUUUGUGAGAGAGACUGGAUCAAAGGAGAGUCGUCGAGGAACCGUUGUCUUUCUUCAUGGAGCUCCAACUCAGUCUUUUAGUUACCGGACUGUCAUGUCUGAGAUGUCAAAUGCUGGAUUUCAUUGCUAUGCACCUGACUGGAUAGGAUUCGGAUUCAGUGACAAGCCGCAGCCAGGAUAUGGUUUUAACUACACAGAGAAAGAGUACCAUGAGUCGUUUGAUAAACUGCUGGAAGUGCUAGAGGUCAAGUCUCCUUUCUUUCUUGUUGUUCAGGGAUUUCUUGUAGGUUCAUAUGGUUUAACAUGGGCGUUGAAAAACUUUAGCAAGGUUGACAAAAUUGCGAUUCUUAAUAGUCCACUGACUGUUUCAUCCCCAGUUCCUGGAUUAUUUAAGCAGCUGAGGAUUCCCCUCUUUGGUGAAUUCACUUGCCAAAAUGCUAUCUUGGCUGAGCGGUUCAUUGAAGGAGGUAGCCCGUACGUCCUGAAGAAUGAGAAAGCUGAUGUCUAUCGUCUACCAUAUUUGUCAAGCGGAGGACCUGGGUUUGCCUUGCUCGAGACGGCGAAAAAGAUCAACUUUGGAGACACCUUGAGUCAAAUUGCAAAUGGGUUUUCAUCAGGCAGCUGGAAUAAACCCAUUCUUCUGGCUUGGGGGAUAGCUGAUAAAUACCUGCCUCAAUCUAUAGCUGAGGAAUUUGAGAAACAGAAUCCCGAAAAUGUCAAGCUUCGGCUCAUUGAAGGUGCUGGGCAUUUACCUCAAGAAGACUGGCCAGAGAAAGUAGUUGCUGCCCUCCGAGCAUUUUUCUGACUUUUAAAUCUAGCAAACAAGGAAAAAGGUUUCCUCUUCACCGCAGGCUUUCUACCACGACCUCUCGUUUUCACAACUUUCUCUUCAGCCUCGCUAUCAUCUCCACCAUCAGCAUCAGCAUCAUCGUCCUCCUCGUCACUCUCUUCUGUUUUCGUCUUUGGUGCAGGCUUCUUACCACGAACACCCCUUGGUUUCUGUCCUUUCUUCGGUAAUGUUUUAAGAGUUACCUCUUUGAUGGAUGUGUGCAAAGCUUCACAUUGCUCUUUGGAGAGGCUAGAAGCAGUCUGCAACGGGUGGAUUCUGGCCUGAGAAAAACAAAGACUAUUAGAAUUACUCGCACAGCAUGUAAACAGUUUCUUCAGUCAUCAAAUGUACAGAGUUGAGAUCAAAAGUGGAUACUUUGUGAAUCAAAUGUGUGGUUACAUAGAUGUUUACUUCAUUUCAAGUGUAAGAGUGUAAAGCUUA